rnacentral:rRNA from 1 species
AGAACGAACGCUGGCGGCAGGCCUAACACAUGCAAGUCGAACGCCGUAGCAAUACGGAGUGGCAGACGGGUGAGUAACGCGUGGGAACAUACCCCUCGGUUCGGAAUAACUCAGGGAAACUUGAGCUAAUACCGGAUACGUCCGUAAGGAGAAAGAUUUAUCGCCGAAGGAUUGGCCCGCGUCCGAUUAGCUAGUUGGUGAGGUAAUGGCUCACCAAGGCGACGAUCGGUAGCUGGUCUGAGAGGAUGAUCAGCCUCACUGGGACUGAGACACGGCCCAGACUCCUACGGGAGGCAGCAGUGGGAAUAUUGGACAAUGGGCGCAAGCCUGAUCCAGCCAUGCCGCGAGGGUGAUGAAGGCCCUAGGGUUGUAAAGCCCUUUCGGCGGGGAAGAUAAUGACGGUACCCGCAGAAGAAGCCCCGGCUAACUUCGUGCCAGCAGCCGC